ACUCUGAUUUGGCUUAUUGCACACAUGUGUUUUUCUUUGAAACAAACUUGCUUUGGCGGUGGGCCCAGCCUGCCGCCAGAGGUCUAAACUUACAACCAAUUUUUUAUCAACUUGUCACACCAGAUUAUUACUAAUAGUCAAAACUUUCAACAACGGAUCUCUUGGUUCUCGCAUCGAUGAAGAACGCAGCGAAAUGCGAUACGUAAUAUGAAUUGCAGAUAUUCGUGAAUCAUCGAAUCUUUGAACGCACAUUGCGCCCUCUGGUAUUCCGGAGGGCAUGCCUGUUUGAGCGUCGUUUCUCCCUCAAACCGCUGGGUUUGGUGUUGAGCAAUACGACUUGGGUUUGCUUGAAAGACGGUAGUGGUAAGGCGGGAUCGCUUUGACAAUGGCUUAGGUCUAACCAAAAACAUUGCUUGCGGCGGUAACGUCUACCACGUAUAUCUUCAAACUUUGACCUCAAAUCAGGUAGGACUACCCGCUGAACUUAAGCAUAUCAAUAGCCGGGAGGAA
rnacentral:rRNA from 1 species